rnacentral:rRNA from 1 species
UACGUAGGGUGCAAGCGUUAUCCGGAAUUAUUGGGCGUAAAGAGCUCGUAGGCGGCUUGUCGCGUCGACUGUGAAAUCCCGCGGCUCAACCGCGGGUCUGCAGUCGAUACGGGCAGGCUAGAGUUCGGUAGGGGAGACUGGAAUUCCUGGUGUAGCGGUGAAAUGCGCAGAUAUCAGGAGGAACACCGAUGGCGAAGGCAGGUCUCUGGGCCGAUACUGACGCUGAGGAGCGAAAGCGUGGGGAGCGAACAGG